rnacentral:rRNA from 1 species
AGUGAACGCUGGCGGUAGGCCUAACACAUGCAAGUCGAACGGCAGCACAGUAAGAGCUUGCUCUUACGGGUGGCGAGUGGCGGACGGGUGAGGAAUACAUCGGAAUCUACUUUUUCGUGGGGGAUAACGUAGGGAAACUUACGCUAAUACCGCAUACGACCUACGGGUGAAAGCAGGGGAUCUUCGGACCUUGCGCGAUUGAAUGAGCCGAUGUCGGAUUAGCUAGUUGGCGGGGUAAAGGCCCACCAAGGCGACGAUCCGUAGCUGGUCUGAGAGGAUGACCACCCAACCUGGACUGGAGCAAGGUCCCAAACCCUACCGGGGGGAACAAGGGGGAAAUAUUGGACAAGGGCCGAAGCCUGAUCCAGCCAUACCGCGUGGGUGAAGAAGGCCUUCGGGUUGUAAAGCCCUUUUGUUGGGAAAGAAAAGCAGCAGGUUAAUACCCCGCUGUUCUGACGGUACCCAAAGAAUAAGCACCGGCUAACUUCGUG